rnacentral:rRNA from 1 species
UAGGGAAUCUUCGGCAAUGGGGGGAACCCUGACCGAGCAACGCCGCGUGAGUGAAGAAGGUUUUCUGAUCGUAAAGCUCUGUUGUUAAGGAAGAACGAGUGUGAGAAUGGAAAGUUCAUGCUGUGACGGUACUUAACCAGAAAGGGACGGCUAACUACGUGCCAGCAGCCGCGGUAAUACGUAGGUCCCGAGCGUUGUCCGGAUUUAUUGGGCGUAAAGCGAGCGCAGGCGGUUAGAAAAGUCUGAAGUGAAAGGCAGUGGCUCAACCAUUGUAGGCUUUGGAAACUGUUUAACUUGAGUGCAGAAGGGGAGAGUGGAAUUCCAUGUGUAGCGGUGAAAUGCGUAAAUAUAUGGAGGAACACCGGUGGCGAAAGCGGCUCUCUGGUCUGUAACUGACGCGGAGGCUCGAAAGCGUGGGGAGCGAACAGG